rnacentral:lncRNA from 1 species
GUGUCUAUAGCGGUCAGAGCCAGGUUUUCAGGUCAGAUGGGGUCUGCUUUGCCAUUGAAUAAUAAUGAAUUAAAUUUUUGCUUCAGGGCUUUUGCAAGAUUGAAGUAGAGUUUUCACAAUUCUAAGAUUCACUAGAUUCUGCAUGCCUUCAGCUAUACAUGAAAUUUAAAGACACUUAUGGGCACUGCAUUCCAUCUGUUGUGAUAUGUUGCUUUGGUUGAAGUCUGUGGAGGAAAUCUAGCUGCACAUGGCUAUGUAUCCAAUAGUUGAAAAAGGAGGACCUCAAAGACCUUCUGACAGGGUGUCAGGAUGGCCCAAAACCAGACUUUGAAAACUGCUCUUCUAGAGACUGGGAGGAAGCAAAGAGCCAGAUGUUGAACUGGAUUCUACUGAAUAGAUUUCUCAUGACUUACUGAAGGAAAAAUAGAACUUAGCUGAAGUCUCUAGAAAAGAGCCCCACUUAAAAGAUGAACUCCAAAAGACAGCUUCUGCAAAAAGCGAUAUAGAAGACUUUGAGAUGGUCUGAAACAGCCCUGAAGGUGUAGCUGAGAAGUUAACCCUUUAAAAACAUGAACAUUUUGAAACAGAUUUAUUUUUCCAGCCAAUGUGUUGACUGGUUUUUUUUUUUGUUUUUUUUUGUUUUUUUUUUUUACAAAAAGUUCAACCUUCAUGAUUUUCAGCAAUUAUGGGGUGUAUUAUGGAGCAUUGCAUAGCAAGAGAUUGUAAUAAUGUGAAGUCUUGACACAAGGUUCAAGGAUUCAAUGAUAUUCUGUGGUAGCCAGAAUAAAAAGAUCCCCUGAUAACCCCUGUUAUCACCCUCCUGUUGAGCGUGACUGGAACCUCAGACACGAUGAGAGAUCACUCUUAUGACUGUCCUGUUGUACGGCAUAAAGAACUUUGCAGAUGUAAUCAAGGUCCCUAAUUAGCUGAGUUAAUCAAAAGGGCCAUUAUCGGGUAGAUCUGACCUAAUGGGCUGAGCCUUUAAAAGAGGGCUGCAGGUGGCUUCUAGGAGAUGAAAGUGGACCCCAUCUGGAAGUCAAUAAAAGAACAGGGGGCUGAGUCAUACAUCUACAAGGAAUUGAAUUCUGCCAACAACCACGUGAGUUUGAGAACCCCUAGCUCCAGAAAGGAACUCAGCCCAGCUGACACCUUGAUUUCUGCCUUAUGAGACUCUGAGUGAAGGACCCAGCUUGAGCCACGCCUGGACUUCUGAUCUACAGAAAUGCUGGUGCAAUAAACAGGUGUUGUUUUAAGCUGUUAAUUGUGUGGAAAUUUGUUAUGCAGCAAUAGGAACCUAACAUACAUUCCGAUAAGUAUUUUUAUGUUUCAUGGCCUAUCUUAACUGAAGCUUGGAACCUUCCUGGAUUUCCCCAUAAUCAUGAAUUGCAAUGACAAUACAAGAAAGGAGGCUAAUGAUCAAAGCAAUUCUGUAGCAUUGCCAUACAGGGAACCACACACGUUGUCCCUCUUGGGUGGCUUACAGAUAUUGUUUAAAAAAGUCACU